rnacentral:misc_RNA from 1 species
AUUCCCUCUCGCGCCAUCUCGACAGCGGCGCGCUGAAUGAAUUGACACUAACGACCAACGGUUCGCUGCUCGAGAAAUUUGCUGCCGAGCUCAAGGACAACGGGGUACGUCGUAUCAACGUCUCGCUUGAUACCCUCGACGCCGCGAAAUUCCGGGCCAUUACGCGAUGGGGCGACCUCGACAAGGUGCUGCGCGGCAUCGAGGCGGCACGCUCCGUGGGUCUUAAGGUCAAGAUCAACGCAGUGGCGCUCAAGAAUUUGAACGAGGACGAGAUCCCCUCGCUGAUGGAGUGGGCGCACGGCAAGGACAUGGACCUCACCCUGAUCGAGGUCAUGCCGAUGGGCGAUAUCGGCGAAGGCCGGAUCG